rnacentral:rRNA from 1 species
GUGGGGAAUCUUCCGCAAUGGACGAAAGUCUGACGGAGCAACGCCGCGUGAGUGAAGAAGGUUUUCGGAUCGUAAAGCUCUUUCGUUAGGGACGAACGUGCUCUUUGUGAAUAAUGAGGAGUAAUGACGGUACCUAAAUAAGAAGCCACGGCUAACUACGUGCCAGCAGCCGCGGUAAUACGUAGGUGGCAAGCGUUGUCCGGAAUUAUUGGGCGUAAAGCGCGCGCAGGCGGGAUAUCAAGUCUGUCUUAAAAGUGCGAGGCUCAACCUCGUGAGGGGACAGAAACUGGUAUUCUUGAGUGUCGGAGAGGAAAGUGGAAUUCCAAGUGUAGCGGUGAAAUGCGUAGAUAUUAGGAAGAACACCAGUGGCGAAGGCGACUUUCUGGACGAUGUCUGACGCUGAGGCGCGAAAGCUAGGGGAGCGAACGGGAUUAGAAACCCCGGUAGUCC